AUUGAACGCUGGCGGCAUGCCUAACACAUGCAAGUCGAACGGGAACGCGGGGGCAACCCUGGCGACGAGUGGCGGACGGGUGAGUAAUACGUAGGAAUCUGCCCAUUUGUGGGGGAUAACCCGGCGAAAGCCGGGCUAAUACCGCAUACGCUCUACGGAGGAAAGCAGGGGAUCGUAAGACCUUGCGCUAAUGGAUGAGCCUACGUCGGAUUAGCUAGUUGGUAGGGUAACGGCCUACCAAGGCGACGAUCCGUAGCUGGUCUGAGAGGACGAUCAGCCACACUGGGACUGAGACACGGCCCAGACUCCUACGGGAGGCAGCAGUGGGGAAUAUUGGACAAUGGGGGCAACCCUGAUCCAGCAAUGCCGCGUGUGUGAAGAAGGCCUGCGGGUUGUAAAGCACUUUCAGAGGGGAAGAAAAAAUCGGAGCUAACACCUCCGAGCUUGACGUUACCCUUAGAAGAAGCACCGGCUAACUCCGUGCCAGCAGCCGCCGCGG
rnacentral:rRNA from 1 species